CACACCCCUAUUGAUCUACCAAUACCUCCCUAAUCAAAAACAAUGUCAAUGCACCGAAGAAAAUAGCAACACGGGCCUCAUAUGGACUGGGGGUGCAGGCCCGGAUUGGAGGGUGUGUGCAAAGCAGCCAAGCCUUCGGGCCUGAAAUGUGAAGGCAAGGCCCAAGCAGAUUGGACAAGUAGCGGAGACUCCAUCUCCUUCACCUUCCUCGGUCAAUUUCAACAGACACAGGGAGAACCACAUCUCCAAGACCUCCCUAGAUGCGCCGGCCUAAACCAACGGCGGCGACCGCAAAAUCAUACCUCACACCGCCACGCGCCUCUUGACCGACAAGAGGAACGAAGCUCCGCCUAAUCGACCGGAGCUACCGCGAUGGUUCUCUCACGAAGCGAAGCAAACAUCGGCAAUGGCGAAAGAAAAAUCGCUACGAAAGGACAAGAGAUCUUACCGGCAAUGGCGAAAGAGGAUCCGUCGGUGAAGCCGUAUUCGGAACUCAGAGAGGAUAAUGAAGUGGAGUGAUACUACAUGCGAGAGUGAUGAAGAAGAACGUGGAGGUUGUGGUUUGAUGAAGGUUUGGAAGGGAUUUCAGCGAUGACGAUGGGAAGGCGUUGGUAAAGGUUUCCGGUUGUUGGCGGUGGAUACGAUGCGGUUAGAGAAUGAGAUGAAAACCGAAGAUUGGCUGAAGCGGUGUUGGUGAUGCCGGUGAGAGUUAGUUUGUGAGGGUUCUGUUAUGGAAGGGAAGAAGAAUCUGGAAAGAUUAUAGAGAGGUGAAGGUUUUGAUGAAGAAUCUGGAAGUGGAUUCUUCGCUUCUUCAAUUUCGUUUACCACUUUUUCUUCUUCUGUUUUGUUUCUGUUAUGCUGUUUCUGCAAAUUUCAGGGAUUUGGUUACCGUGAGAGUUGUUCUUGGGAGGUUGAGGGUGAACGGUGUUUGGAGGUGGUAGAAGGAACUGGUGAAUUGUUGAAUUAUGGGAAAGGUUGCGAAUUCGCAAUGGUGAAGGUUCUGGUUAUGGAGUUUGGUGAAGGAAUUGAAGAGAGAAAGAAACCGAAUUUGAGAGAGGGAAGGAGAAUUUAUAGAGAUGAGUUUUUUUGGUUAUAGUUUGUUAGUUAGUUGUGAAUGAAAAAUUCUGUUAUUUCAUUGUUGCAGGCUUUGCGGUUGGUGUCAAUGCAUUACCGUUGGAUUUGGCUUAUGUAUUCACUGGAGCUUUGCUUAUUCACCUGCGUUUUGCACCUUUUGCAGCUGGAUCACAAGUCGUGGCUUACGCAUUGGCUUGCGUUUGUUGCCGCGGUUUUAGCUUUGGCUUUGAGCUGCGUUUUUGAAUGAGCUAUUGUGAACGACUUUGUGCUCUGCAGGUUGGAGCUUGGAAGUAGCUUUAGAAGCUUGGCUUGAAGCUUUGCACCGCUUGGUGAAGCUUGCUGCUUGUGUUUGGUUUUGGCUCAACAGCUUUUUGGUGCAUUUUAUGCAGAAUUUCCACAUGCCUAUUAUGCAGAAUUUUUUGAUGUGUUCUGAAUUUUUAAUGCAGAUUUUUUAUGAUGCAGAAUUUUGUUUUAAAUUAUGCAGAAUUUUAUAAUGCAGAUGCAGAAUUUUUAUGAUGCAAUGCAGAAUUUGGUUUAUGCAA